UUGAGUAAUAAUAAAGAGAUAACACAAUAUCAAUAUAUUUAAGAAUCAUUUUAUGACAAUAUUUCAAGUUUUGGAAAAGGUUUCUUGCAACUAAAUUAUUGCUAAAAACUUUUCAUUAGUGUGUAAAGAUCGUGGGAUUGUUUUUUUUUUUUUUUGUGUCAAGUAGUAGUUUGUUGGUUAAAAUUUUUCGAUAAAGUAAAUAGCUAUAUGCUAAGAUAAACUUAUAUGAACAAAUCAUGUCAUUUUUUUUUUGGUUUACAAAUGCUGCCAAUGAAGAUUAAAUUUUUAUUACAUUAUAAAGUAGUUAAAUUUUUUAGUUUUGUUUCUUACAUACAAAAUAGGAAACAAUGUCUAAAACGCUUGUGUUUAUUUCUGCUAUUACUCUCGUCCUUUCUCUGUUUCUUGUAUCCUACAACGAUUCUGAGUCAAAAAACAAUAUGAUAGACUCAACUCAUAUCUGCAAUUUUGACUCUGAUUGUCACAGUUUACCAUGUGGCCCCGUUGCAACUGGGAGAUGUAUUGAGUAUGGGUGUGAAUGUGUGUUCUAAUU